CGGUGGGGACGACCCCACCCUUCGCAAAGUUUCGCGGGGACGACCCCG
rfam:Gloeobacter violaceus PCC 7421 DNA, complete genome.